rnacentral:rRNA from 1 species
UACGAAGGGGGCUAGCGUUGCUCGGAAUCACUGGGCGUAAAGCGCACGUUAGGCGGAUCUUUAAGUCAGGGUGAAAUCCCAAGCUCAACCUUGGAACUGCCUUGAUACUGGGAUCUCGAGUCCGGGAAGAGGUUGGGUGGAACUGCGAGUGUAGAGGUGAAAAUUCGUAGAUAUUCGCAAGAACACCAGUGGCGAAGGCGGCCAACUGGUCCGGAACCUGGA